rnacentral:lncRNA from 1 species
AGAGGGAAAGGGGAAGAGAGAGAGAGAGAGAGAGAGAGCGAGCAGGUACAGAGGUAGAGUAGUAGAGUGUACAGUGAGACGUUUCUACAGAGUGAAAACAUUACCCAAGCCCCUGAAGCUCACCUUCUGGUCCCUCUGUUUCCACCUGUCCUCACUUCCUUUCUUCUUGUUUGCCAUCAUCUUUGAUGAGUUUUUGGACUUACUUUUUGGGGGUCGUCUCUUGGGUACAUUUUUCUGGAAGAACAGAUCAAUGGAAGCUUUGAAAACUAAUUGUUUUUCUCCCCUGUGACUUUUCAAACAAAAAGAAAGAGGAAGAAAGAAAAAGAUAAAGAAGGAAAGUAGGGGGGAAAAAAGGACAUGUAAUAGCUGGAAACAUUUAAAUUUGCCUUGGAGAAGUUUGGGGCCCCAUAAGGAAGUACUAUUGCUGUUGUGUAAAAAUUUCUCCAGGGAAAACUUCUUAACGAUCUGAGCCAUCCAAAGUGGAAUGGUCUGCCACAGAAGGUGAUGGGUGCCCUCUCUUUGGAGAUACUUGAACUAAAACUGGAUGGCUACUGCUUAGAAAUGAUGUUUUCUAUUGCAAGUAUUCAAGAUCACACAGAAACAGUAGAACCAAACAAGUUGGCGCAUCACCUCAUACUCUAAAUGGUUUAUUGGCAGAGCAGAGAAGCCCUAUGGGAUUUAAUAAUAUGGAAACAUCCUGAACUUACAGGAGAAACACAGGGAAAUAUCUGUGUACAGAACACCUCCCUAUGGAUGAUUUACUUCAGGUGCUGAGAGCUUAUUCUUCUGCAAACCCACCCUACUCCUUAUUUUGCUGCCUUGGGCUAGAUUGGGAAGAUCAGAAUCUCUUGGAUAAG